rnacentral:rRNA from 1 species
UCAGGAUGAACGCUGGCGGCGUGCCUAACACAUGCAAGUCGAACGAAGCACUGCGGAUGGAGAUUCGUCAAAAUCUGCUUGACUUAGUGGCGGACGGGUGAGUAAUGUGUGAGCAACCUGCCUUUCAGAGGGGGACAACAGUUGGAAACGACUGCUAAUACCGCAUAAUGUAUUGGAGGGGCAUCCUUUUAAUACCAAAGGAGCAAUCCGCUGAAAGAUGGGCUCACAUCUGAUUAGCUAGUUGGUGGGGUAACGGCCUACCAAGGCUGCGAUCAGUAGCCGGACUGAGAGGUUGAACGGCCACAUUGGGACUGAGAUACGGCCCAGACUCCUACGGGAGGCAGCAGUGGGGAAUAUUGGGCAAUGGGCGAAAGCCCUGACCCAGCAACGCCGCGUGAAGGAAGAAGGUCUUCGGAUUGUAAACUUCUUUUAUGAGGGACGAAGGAUGUGACGGUACCUCAUGAAUAAGCCACGGCUAACUACGUGCCAGCCGCGGC